rnacentral:lncRNA from 1 species
CGCCGUUUUCUUUCAUAUGAGAAGAGACUAAAAUCAAAAAAUCAUUCCCAGCAGCCUUCUUCUUCACGAAAAGGCAGCAACCAAACGUAAAAACAGACCCCACCUUCAACGUUGGAUCGUGCUUUUCAGCUGCAGAAGACCAAAAAUCGGAUCUCCCUUCUUCACUUCUUCAACUCUCAUCGUGUAGCAGCAACCCUAGAGACCUAGGAACUUCAGCCGCUUCCAUGAAAGGGUGAAGCUUCUUCAUCUUCCUUGAGCUGCCUGAAAACGCUAGACGCCGCUGCUCCUUCUUCUUCUGCCUGAAACUCGCCGGAGAAACGAGCUCCAGCCGCGACAAACAGAACCAAACAACCCCGCACCAGAUCUCCAUAGCCAACACUCUGCACCUCUCUAAAAUUGGCAGCCACACACACGUUCAGUCCAAAAUCGAGUGAAUGUUAGCUUCGAGCUUGAGUGUCGAGUUUCUCGGUAUCGUUUCGAGCUUCCGUCUAGCGUCGGUGGUUCAUGCUUCAGCUGUCCCGUUUGCUGUAACAGUUUUUGCAUCCAAACAUAAAACUGUAAAGUUGGGAAAUUCUCGUUAAUAUGCAACACUCUAUUUGGAGGUCCGUUUCUUUCCUCCUCUUCGAUUAUCUGUGUGAUGGUUUACUAAGAGAAGAUGCUAUUUUGUUCAUAAAUGGGUUAAAAUUUCUGAUCGUUGUAUUAAUAAAUCUGAAAUGUUGUUUGGAUAUAGCUGAGAUGAUAUUUGGGAAUAUUUUCUUGGGUUGCUUUCAUUCUCAUUUAAAAUGCCAAAUUUAAUUUGAUCUAAUUAAUUGGGCAACGGAAGGCAUGAGAUAUAUGGAACUGAGUAUAUUUAAUUGGUUUGGAAGAAAACCUCAAUUGUCAUUCUGCUGAGAUUUCGUUUUUUUUUAAUAUCAAUUUGAGAUGCUACUGUUUGCUAAACUUUGUGCUUUUCCUCAAAGUAAGUCAUCCAUGAUGUCAAGUUUGUUAGAUAUGCUUUUAAAUUUGUCAUAUAAUCCUUCAUGGAAAUUUCAAAAGAAAAACUUGAUUCACGCCUUGGCAUUCCUUCACUCACAAUAAAAUGUUCCAUAAUUCUUGAACCUUCACGUUUGAUCUCAAACUUAGAAAUAAAUAAUUCAUGAACAUCGUGGCUUGCUUUAGGCACGAUUAAUAAAUCAACCAUUGUGACUAUGGGUACGGUUCCCGUGACAUAGUUACGAUGCCUAAUUCCCAAAUUCGGGGUACAUUUAUGUGACCCGGCCAUAACAACUAAUAUUUUAAAAUAAUUUAAACAUGUUAUAGAUCGUGGUACGGUUUUCGUGACACGAUUCACAACCUGUAUCAAACAAACAGGUGUACGACAAUCGUAACUUGUUCCAGAUUAAUUCCAUAAAAAUAAUUAAAAGCGGUUAAAAGGAAUAAAAUGCACAGUAGGUUUAAAACGGGUAAUAAAUCAGAUAAUUAGGCCAAUUUUAAUAGUUUAAGCGACCGUGCUAGUACCACGAAAUCCGGGGAUGCCUAACACCUUCCCCGGGUUAACAGAAUUACUUAUUUAGAAUUUUUGGUUUGCAGAUUUCAAAAGCAAAGUCAAAAUUUCCUCGAUUUGGGAUUAAAAAUAGACCGGUGACUUGGGACACCAAUAAAAAUAUUCCAAGUGGCGACUCUAAGAUUAAAAUAAUAAUCUUAUUUCGAAUAAUGUCACUUUAAUUGGAAAAACUCUCUUAUAUACCUUCGGGUGUGUAAAAAAGGAGGUGUGACAGUACAUAAACAAAUUUUUAUACUCUAAGGCUACCAUGAACAAGAGGCCGCUACAACCGGAGCACAAGUACGUUUUCAAUUCCAGCAUAUAUACACUUGGUGUUUCGAGAAAUGCUAUCUGGCCUAAUCAUAAUAUGGAGUAAUCAUGUUGGAGUUUUGAUGUUGAAUACUUAUACAGACGAUGGAUUCACUUUAACAUAACAGAGAAGAAAGGGUAGAUCGAUGGUGGUGCAAUUUGAGAUGUAAUGCAGAAAAUUCAAAUUCUCCAGCCUUUGUAGUUUGUGUGAAAAAGUAAAGUUGAUUUUUUGAAAGAGUAAAAAUUAUAAUUAGAAGAAGUUUCUAGAAAGUUAUGGAGUAAUAUCUUUGAUAUUUGUUGUACUUAAGAAAUAUCUGGAUAUUCUAAAGUAUUGGAUAUUUAAGGAGAAUAUUAGUAGAAGAUGAUAUAAUUGUCUAGAUUAUUUUUGUAUCUAGAAUCAUUCCAAGACAAGUAUAAAUAGGAGUAGACUUAGGCAUUUGUAAUGAAGCCAAAUUCAAGAAAGUCUUCUUCAAUAACAAAGUUCUCCUUUCAAAAAUCUCUCUUCUCUUUUCAAGCUUUCUCUUUUUUAGUUGAAUCCUCCAAUCUUUGUUAACGAUCUUUGGCUAGCAGAAGGUCUCUGAAAAAUACUCUUCUUCUGCUAUUCUUUACCGUUUGUAUCUACCGCAGUGUGUUGAGCAACAAGUUGAUGCACAUGGAUGGGAUGAAAAGAAAAAGAAGUACAGGUGGAUGAAUUUGCAACAAGUGCAGCUGUAGUUUCUGUUGCAGCUAGCUCUACAUUUGUAGAUAACUUACCUGCUACUCUUGCUCCGUUAGCUGUGAGACAACAGACAACAAGUUCAGACUUUCAAAGUCGACAGCGCCUUGAUUGGUGAUACUAAACGUUGAUACCACUCUACCAUAGAAUCUCCAACUUUGGCUGCAAAAGCUAACUCAUGAUGUGAAAAGUUGUUUUUAAACUGCCCAGGAAUCUCUCUCCAACUUGGGUCUAAGCCCCAUCCUGUCAUGACCACGUUUUCUUGUUGGGCGUCACAUCAUAAACUCGUUCAAUUCGAUUAUUUAAAGUCUUAUGCAAUUGCAUUCCUUUUUCCUUUUUCAUUUUUCAUUUUUCAUGUUCAAAGAUGAGCCAACGCCUUUGUAAGUGAUUGUACAUACUCUACAAUGAUAAUGCUAAAACAAUGGUUUAAAAUAAAAGCAAGCAAGAGUACCAGAUUAUGCAGCUAAAUUAUCUACAAAUGUAGAACUAGCGAGCAUUUUAUGCUAAUUAGUCCUGAGCAAAAUUGGAAAAGAAUUAACUAUAGGAUGAUAUAACUUUUCAGGAAGUUGACAUUCUUAAUGCUACCGGAUUUUAAGGAAACUCAUAUUUGGAGGUGCAGUUUUUUACAGUAAGUUUGGUCUAUUUCUUGUGGCUUAUACAGUAUUUUGUUCCUACUAAAUGUGGAUAAAUCGCUCAACAAAAGCGUAAAACUGAUGGUUGUGAGCUUCAAUCCUCUUCCAUAUGUCUUUGCAACUACACAAGGCUCGGGCAAAUAAAUGCAG